GGAUUCUACUUUACACAAAGUCGAGAGAGAGCCCACCUCUCUUCUGCUCAGAUUUUAAGUGACUCAGCCUAUCAGGCAAGACCCUGCAGACUAUUUCAGGCAUUUCUAUUCACUAUUGGGCUUGCCUGCCUAAAGAAUCCAAAGAAUACCACCCUUACUUUGUAUUUUUUAAGGUCACUGAGAAACAUGCAUAAAAUACAAGUGACCAUCCUAAAUACAAGAGAAAAAAGGAUUCCUUUCCAUGGGCCACGUGGCUCCCAGUUUUCCCGUCCUCUGUAUUUAAAGUUAGCAAAGCCAAAGGUUGUUAAGGAAGAAGGCUGGUUUCUACUUUAGAAAGACUGGAUUUGAUGAAUUUGAGAUGAGAUAAAAAGACAUUUCUCAGUCAUUUUCCUAAAAAUGUAGCCCUGGGGUUGACCUUCUCCCUCCAGUGACAGCAUUUUAUAAAAUGAAGCAAGACUGCUGGCUUGGGGCCAGGAAGAGGGCUGUAGGGGGUGUCUGCUGCUGUAGGUGCCCCAGCACAUGAUGUGCAGUCACAGCCCCACUCCCACAUCUGCCUGUUUAUGUAAAUAAAAUUUUCCUGGAACACACCCAGGCCCACCUGUUCAUUGUCUAUGGCUAUUUUCAACAAGAAUUGAGUACUUGGCGACAAAGAUCAGGUGGCCUAAAAAGUUUAGAGUGUUGCCAUCUAGCCCUUGACAGAAGUUUUCUAACUCCUGCCUGAGGAGUUAGAAAUUGCUUCCUUAUGAUGUAAUCUCUGAUGUCCAGCUACCCGACUGGCCACUGAUCAGCAUGAGGUCCCUUGUGAUUUCUCUAGACUGGCUCACUAGGACCCACCUGCUGAGAAGGGUGGUGGCAUGCACCCAUCCCUCUGGCUCCUUCAGGGCCCAAGUCUCAUGGGAGUGGCUCCAGGAAAGGACCAUGCAUAUACAUGGGCAGGUAUCUCUCUCAACUGCUGAGGGAGUCAGUAUUAUCACCAUCUAUAAAUGAAGCUCAGUUAACAGGUGGCCACAGUCAAGCAGCUGGAGUGCCUGGAGGCGGUCCCAAGCUCCACUCCUUUCCCCCUUGCUUCCCAUCUCUGGCAAGGGUGUUUAGAAUCCUCCAAGUGGAUUUGCUAGAGGCAAAAAGCAAAAACCAAGGUGUAGUGACAGUGUUAGCUAGAGUGGCUCCAAUAGGUGCUGAGAGAUGAGCCACUGCCAUUCCCAAAGCUCAGACCCCAAGCAGCAAGCAGAGCAGCGCAGCAGCAUUUGAAUGAGCUAACAUGGGUGUCCUGUGGGAUCCUGUCCUCCUACCUGUUUAUGAAUCUUUUCCCUUUGGACAAUUCUAAGGUAAAAGCCAUCAGUGAAUGGCAGGUAAGUUCAACUCCUAGAGCUGUUUCAUUAUCAAAACUCGUUUAAGCAAAUUUCAGUUUUAUUCCAACACCCUCAAACCUGUUCUGCUAUGAGACCCUCACUUAAUUCCAAUCUUAUUCUGCCAUCAUUUGUAGCCAAAACACUUCAGGCAAGCUAGAAUACGAAAAAUCAUCAUGCUCUCAACCAGUGGCAUGCAUUACUAUUGCAGAAGAGAAUCUAAUAGAUGUCUUACUUGGGAAAAGAAUCCUGGGUCAGGGAAUCCUCUACUCCUGGUGACUAAGACCUCAAACAAUCUUACAGAGCUGAACCAGGAAAUGGAACAGAAUAAUCAGAAGUGAAGAAUGGAAAGUUUGCAAUAUAAGAAAAUGGAAGAAGUUCAAGAAGGAAAUUGGCAAACCAUAAGUUUGCAGAGGAAUGUUGUGGGAGGGAAGCCUAAGAAAUUAUUUCUUAAGAAUGAUUGGGGGUAAUAACUUGGAUGGUUUUCCUAAAAGCUACCUGUCCAACAACAUAAUUCCUUCCUACAGAUUUUUGCUUCCCAGUGUUUUACAGGAAUGUCUGUCAAUCAGAAAUAUAAAAAUUGAGUGUCAGCCCCUUGCUUCUCUGAUCUUUGCUGAGUGUAGACCAAGGAAAAUACACCUUCCCUAUUAGGCAGCUAGAAAGCUGCCUGGAGGACAGGAUCCCACAGGACUCCCAUGUUAGCUCACUCAAAUGCUGCUGCGCUGCUCUGCUUGCUGCUUGGGGUCUGAGCUUUGGGAAUGGCAGUGGCUCAUCUCUCAGCACCUAUUGGAGCCACUCUAGCUAACACUGUCACUACACCUUGGUUUUUGCUUUUUGCCUCUAGCAAAUCCACUUGGAGGAUUCUAAACACCCUUGCCAGAGAUGGGAAGCAAGGGGGAAAGGAGUGGAGCUUGGGACCGCCUCCAGGCACUCCAGCUGCUUGACUGUGGCCACCUGUUAACUGAGCUUCAUUUAUAGAUGGUGAUAAUACUGACUCCCUCAGCAGUUGAGAGACAGAUACCUGCAAGAUCUUCUCUCAUCCUUGGCAGUUUUUCAGGGACAUGUGCAAUCUGUCAACUGGGCUUCUCCUGGGAAGGGGGAUGAGAUCUCAUUGUUCCCUUUCAUUCAGGACAGGGGUUCUUGCUGAAGUGUCCAGAGAUGAGCAGGAACAGGGAAUGGAAUGAGUGGAAGUGGGAAGGAAAGAGAAGAAAGAAGCACAGAUUGAUUCCUGCAGCCUCUGAAACGCUCCCUCUGGGACUGAUUUCUGAAAAUGUUUUUGGACAGAAAGAAAUCUGGAUGCAGACUCUGUUGUCUCAGGCAAGGACCCAUGUGUUUGUUGGGAGGGGGAGAGCUGGGAUGGAGCCAAGGAUCCUGUGCACGUGAGGUAAGUGCUCUACCACUGAGCAAACCCCAGCCCACAUUUUGGCUUCCACUCUUGCCUCUGGACCCAGACCAGACUUACCCCAUGAGGCACUGGGCCUUCUGCUCUCAUUGCCAUUCUCAACCCAUCCAGAACUUUUUUGGUGUUUCUUUUUGCUGGCUGCUGCUGACCAGAGAGAAUUAUAGGCAUCAACAAUCCCUAGACUCUACUGUCUAAACUGUGCUAUCCUAGGAGAGUAUAGUUUGUCAGACUGUCUAGAGCCAUGCGAGUGGUUGGGGGAGAUUCAAGAGUCAGGGAUUCUCCAUAGUUUUGGCUUCCUGAGCUUCUAGAGCCAAGAAUGCCUUUUCAAUAUUAUAUACCUCUACCUGUGUUCCUUGGGACUACAGUGUCCUGUGAAAUAUUACCAAACAUUUGUUGAAACACCGUGAGCAGGUAAGACUGAAAACUACCCAAAUGAAUGGAGUUCAACCAGCUUAUUCUGUGCAGAACUUGAUGGGGCCUUUAGUGCACAUACAAGUUGUGCCCCCAGUAUUCAGGGACCCUGAAUCCAACUGAUCACAGUUUUCUGUUAUUUUGCCCACUUCUAUUUGCCUCUGCCUUGAUGAGCUUCAGCAAUGAAGAUAUCCCUCCCUUCUUUCUCAUCCAGCCUUUAAGAAAACCACCCUGCCCCUCCCAUCAUUCCUGUACAUCAGUGGAACAACACGGCUUCCGGCCCAGGACCCUUUACCAGGUCUCUGCCUCGGGCACGAGUUCACUUGUGAGUGGUAUAAAUGACUACAUAAUCCAGGGCCAGGCCAUGACUCCCUCUCAACAAGCUGUCAUUUCUAUCCCACAGUGCAGAGGUCCUGAAAUCCUUGUGUGUGGACUUGCAGAGCCACCCCGUGACACUCUUAUUGUCUGAUACUCCUUUACUCUUGCUGUCUGAUGCCCCUUUCCUGCUGUAGGUGCCUGGGGAACAUGGACACAUCUGAAUGCAUGGCACUCACCCCAUCUCACACCCCAACCCUCAGAAGCUCCCAGCUUAAUGCAAGACUUUCCUCUACAAAAUAAUGGACCGUUCACUGGGCUAGCCUCCACUGGACUCAAGGCCCAGUGGGCCUCCCCAUGGUGGCAUCUCCAGCAUUUUCCACAGUGCUGGGUGUUUCCAGGUUUUCACACACCUGCUUCUUGAUUUGCUGAUUCAAGGCCCAGGACACUCAGGCCAGGUGGUGACUAGAGGGUGAGGUGCCUCUAGGAUGAGACCACUGGGUCCAGGCCUCCCUGAUUCUUGUGCUCUUGGCUUCUUUCCUUAGUAUCCAUGGUGUUUGGUAUUAGCCCAGUUACAAUAUUUUUCUUUUCCCAUGGGCAUAUAUUGUUUUAUAUUUAGCCUUCUCUAACCCUAAUAUAACUUAUAUGUCUUCUAAUUACCAUCAUUUUUUAAAAUCUGUCUUUCAAUCAGAGCAUUAGUCCAUUUAUAUAUAACAAUAUUUACUAUAUGAGUUAAAUCUACUAUCUUAUCAUUUGCUGUCCAUUUACCCCACCUGUUUUAUGUCUCUUUCUCUCCCCUCUUAUCUUCUUUAAUUAGUAUUUUAUUACUCCAUUUCCCCCCAUUAUGUCGUUGUUAAUAAAUUCUUUACUACCCAUUUAGUGAUUAUCUGAACAAUUACAUCAUUUGACCCUGAAUUGUUAUUGAUGUUUAAUAUAAAUUAUUACUCCUACCAGCUUCCAGACAGUGAAAAGGAGCUAGACCAUUUUAAUUCUGCCUAACCCGCUUCUGACUUACAUACAACUGUUAUCACCUAUAAGUAAUAUGACAAGGCAUAUUACUAAUAUCCCAUGUGGCUAAUAUCCAUUUAAACUUGUUUAUGUCAACUCACAUUUCCAUUGCCCCUUGGUCCUUCCUGCCAACUGGGAUAAUUUUCUCUCAGUCGGAAAAACAAUGUUCAGUAUUUUCUUUGGUACAAGUCUACUGGUAAAGAAUUCUCUCAGUUUUCUUGUCUUUACUGUCUUUGUUUUGCUUUCAUUUUUUUUAACUAGAAAUUUUCAAGCAUUCAGAAGCAGGGGAAAUAAUGUAACUGACUUCUAAAUACUUGUCACCAGUAAGCAAUCAUCUCACCUCCAUGUGUUAAAGAUAUUUUCAGUGGGUAAUCGAGGUUGACAAUUAUUUUCUUUCAACACUUUGAAGACAUUCCAUUGUCUUCCAGCUUCUGCUAUUUCUAUAGAGAAGUCAGCUGUCAGUUUAAUGGAUUCUCCUGUAAGUAGACCUAAUCAAUCAUUUUGGAUCAUUUGAUCAAUCAUGUCUGGUGUUUUAUACACUGUGAGGCUCUGAAUCCUCCAGAGAGGACUGAUUUAUGUCUAUUGCAGGCAGCUAAACAAACCAGAUGCAUUAGCAACUCCAGGUUACCCUGAUGCAAUUGGGAACAGAGAUGAUUCAAAACUAGGCUUCCUUCCUUACAAGGUUUGGUCUUUUUCUGAUGCACUAUUAUUUUUCAAGUAUAGCCCUUUGGGGUGCCCUAGCCCUUUUGUCUACAGAAGGCUCCACUUAGGUUCUCAGCCUCUCCUUCAGUAGUUUUAAACCAAAGAAAACACAUCUGGGCGCUUCUUGAAGAAGAAGCUAAGACUGAGGAAGCCCUGGUGUCCUCCUACCCGGGCUAGACUGCUCCGUGCUCUGCUGGAGCUGCCAUGUGAGUGCUCUCCUCUGGUUCGUGGCAGAGAGCAAGGCCUCUACAGAUCUUCCACAGGUCUCAUGGCGCUUCUCCACUGAUGAGCAAAGUAACAAUCACACUGUAUAACUGAGAACUGGUGACAACCCAUGACACUGAGGCCCACAGCUUUUUAUCCCUACACGUUUGCUUUUAGAACAUUUAAAAAAAAUAAGAACAUGAAGCAUUGCUGUAUUUUUGGCUGAUUGGCUAGUGCAGUUUGGUGGGCUCCUGGGAUGGAAUGAAUGUACCAUCACCUUCCAUAUCUGUGGGUUCUGAAGCUGAGGGUUCAACCAGCCCCAGAUGGAAAGUAUUUAGAAAGCAUGUUCUGCUGUUGCUUGAAGUGUACUAUAUAGUUAGGCCCAUGAUGGCUGAAUCUGUACCAAAUACAUACAGAUUUUCUUUUUCAAGUCACUGUUCUCUAAACAAUAGAGUAUGAUGACUAUUUGCAUAGCACUUACAUUGCGUUAGGUAUUGCAGGCCUUGUAGAGAUGGCUCAAAGGGCACAGGAGGAGGCACAUAGAUGAUAUGCAAAUAACACACCAUUUUAUGUAAGGACCUGAGCAUCCACGAUUUUGGUAUUGGGGUCCUGAAACCAAUCCCCUGUGGAUUUGCAGGUUUGAGUCACAAACAGCCCAUGAGCUAUGUGACCUAUGUCAACAGCUCAAUUAUAGUCUAGAUCAGGUUCAAAUGGACCCCCAAAUUUCCUUUUAUGGAUGACUGUGAUCCAAAGGCUCCAGAGGAAAUAGAAAGUCAGUUUCUGGGUUGGGGGCAGCUCUAGGGGAGUAAAGGGACAGUCCCAGGGGUGUGGGCUCCAGAGGAAAGUCAGUAGCAGCUACUCAGCUCCACUGUUAGCACAGAACAAUGGGGACUCCAGGUGUCAGAUCUUUUAAACUUUGAAAAGGAGCUGAAAGUUCAAAAACUAUGUUAUACCCAGAUUUUAAAAUGUUGGUGUAACUAAAACAAAUCCAGGGCAAGUGUAACAAAAUACAUCUUUGGGCCAAAAUCGGCCCUCACAUCACAGUUUGUGACUUCCUUAAUAAUAAAAGUAAGAAAACAUCA